rnacentral:rRNA from 1 species
AUGUGAGUAGUCUCGUACGAGCGCACCAUGUCUCUUGUUGCUCAUUGAGUGCUUAAGAGAGACUGCCGACCAACAUCGGAGGAAGGUGUGGAUGAUGUCAAGUCAGCAUGCCCCUUACAUCCUGGGCUACACACGUACUACAAUGGUAGGGACAAUGAGCUGCGAUCCUGCGAAGGCUAGCCAAUCUCAAAAACCCUAUCUCAGUUCGGAUUGUACUCUGCAACUCGAGUACAUGAAGGUGGAAUCGCUAGUAAUCGCUGGUCAGCUAUACAGCGGUGAAUACGUUCCCGGGUCUUGUACACACUGCCCGUCACACCAUGGAAGCCGACUCUUCCCUAAGUCGUUACUCGAACCCAUUGGGACGAGGAUGCCGAAGGCAGGGUUGGUGACUAGGGUGAAGUCGUAACAAGGUAGCCGUACUGGAAGGUGUGGCUGGAAUACCUCCUUUUU